rnacentral:rRNA from 1 species
AAACCAACAGGGAUUGCCUCAGUAACGGCGAGUGAAGCGGCAAGAGCUCAAAUUUGAAAGCUGGCUCCUUCGGGGUCCGCAUUGUAAUUUGCAGAGGAUGCUUCGGGAGCGGCCCCCAUCUAAGUGCCCUGGAACGGGCCGUCAUAGAGGGUGAGAAUCCCGUAUGGGAUGGGGUGCCCGCGACCAUGUGAAGCUCCUUCGACGAGUCGAGUUGUUUGGGAAUGCAGCUCUAAAUGGGUGGUAAAUUUCAUCUAAAGCUAAAUAUUGGCCGGAGACCGAUAGCGCACAAGUAGAGUGAUCGAAAGAUGAAAAGCACUUUGAAAAGAGAGUUAAAAAGCACGUGAAAUUGUUGAAAGGGAAGCGCUUGCGACCAGACUCGCCCGCGGGGUUCAGCCGGUAUUCGUACCGGUGUACUUCCCCGUGGGCGGGCCAGCGUCGGUUUGGGCGGCCGGUCAAAGGCCCUCGGAAUGUAACGCCUCUCGGGGCGUCUUAUAGCCGAGGGUGCCAUGCGGCCAGCCCGGACCGAGGAACGCGCUUCGGCACGGACGCUGGCAUAAUGUUUCGUAAGCGAC